AAAUGCGUAGAUAUAUGGAAGAACACCAGUGGCGAAGGCGGCUGUCUGGUCUGUAACUGACGCUGAGGCUCGAAAGUAUGGGUAGCAAACAGGAUUAGAUACCCUGGUAGUCCAUACCGUAAACGAUGAAUGCUAAGUGUUGGAGGGUUUCCGCCCUUCAGUGCUGCAGCUAACGCAUUAAGCAUUCCGCCUGGGGAGUACGGCCGCAAGGCUGAAACUCAAAGGAAUUGACGGGGGCCCGCACAAGCGGUGGAGCAUGUGGUUUAAUUCGAAGCUACGCGAAGAACCUUACCAGGUCUUGACAUACUAUGCAAAUCUAAGAGAUUAGACGUUCCCUUCGGGGACAUGGAUACAGGUGGUGCAUGGUUGUCGUCAGCUCGUGUCGUGAGAUGUUGGGUUAAGUCCCGCAACGAGCGCAACCCUUAUUAUCAGUUGCCAGCAUUAAGUUGGGCACUCUGGUGAGACUGCCGGUGACAAACCGGAGGAAGGUGGGGAUGACGUCAAAUCAUCAUGCCCCUUAUGACCUGGGCUACACACGUGCUACAAUGGAUGGUACAACGAGUUGCGAACUCGCGAGAGUAAGCUAAUCUCUUAAAGCCAUUCUCAGUUCGGAUUGUAGGCUGCAACUCGCCUACAUGAAGUCGGAAUCGCUAGUAAUCGCGGAUCAGCAUGCCGCGGUGAAUACGUUCCCGGGCCUUGUACACACCGCCCGUCACACCAUGAGAGUUUGUUA
rnacentral:rRNA from 2 species